UACGUAGGGGGCAAGCGUUGUCCGGAAUUAUUGGGCGUAAAGAGCUCGUAGGCGGUUCGGUAAGUCGGGUGUGAAAAUCCAGGGCUCAACCCUGGGACGCCACCCGAUACUGCUGUGACUGGAGUCCGGUAGAGGAGUGUGGAAUUCCUGGUGUAGCGGUGAAAUGCGCAGAUAUCAGGAGGAACACCAGCGGCGAAGGCGGCACUCUGGGCCGGUACUGACGCUGAGGAGCGAAAGCGUGGGGAGCAAACAGG
rnacentral:ncRNA from 2 species